rnacentral:rRNA from 1 species
UUUUAAAGAGAGUUUGAUCCUGGCUCAGGACGAACGCUGGCGGCGUGCCUAAUACAUGCAAGUCGAACGAACGGAGGAAG